rnacentral:tRNA from 1 species
AAUAAGAAGCAAAUAAUUGCAUUUAGUUUCGACCUAAAAUUUUGAUGAACCCAUCCUUAUUU